GGUAUGUAUAGAUUAUCAGUAGAUAAUGAGUAUUGAUGGUAGGUAUGUAUAGAUUAUCAGUAGAUAAUGAGUAUUGAUGGUAGGUAUGUAUAGAUUAUCAGUAGAUAAUGAGUAUUGAUGGUAGGUAUGUAUAGAUUAUCAGUAGAUAAUGAGUAUUGAUGGUAGGUAUGUAUAGAUUAUCAGUAGAUAAUGAGUAUUGAUGGUAGGUAUGUAUAGAUUAUCAGUAGAUAAUGAGUAUUGAUGGUAGGUAUGUAUAGAUUAUCAGUAGAUAAUGAGUAUUGAUGGUAGGUAUGUAUAGAUUAUCAGUAGAUAAUGAGUAUUGAUGGUAGGUAUGUAUAGAUUAUCAGUAGAUAAUGAGUAUUGAUGGUAGGUAUGUAUAGAUUAUCAGUAGAUAAUGAGUAUUGAUGGUAGGUAUGUAUAGAUUAUCAGUAGAUAAUGAGUAUUGAUGGUAGGUAUGUAUAGAUUAUCAGUAGAUAAUGAGUAUUGAUGGUAGGUAUGUAUAGAUUAUCAGUAGAUAAUGAGUAUUGAUGGUAGGUAUGUAUAGAUUAUCAGGUUUCUGCACAUUGAAAGUCUUUGUUAUUGUAAAAUAUCAGCCAUGAGCCACAAUGAAAUCGCUUUAACAAGUGAACACAGCUAAUUAACUAAAAAGCUUCACAUUACAGCAAGCUGAUGAUA